rnacentral:rRNA from 1 species
GAUGAACGCUGGCGGCGUGCCUAAUACAUGCAAGUCGAGCGACCAGACGAGGAGCUUGCUCCUCUGACGUUAGCGGCGGACGGGUGAGUAACACGUGGAUAACCUACCUAUAAGACUGGGAUAACUUCGGGAAACCGGAGCUACUACCGGAUAAUAUAUUGAACCGCAUGGUUCAAUAGUGAAAGACGGUUUUGCUGUCACUUAUAGAUGGAUCCGCGCCGCAUUAGCUAGUUGGUAAGGUAACGGCUUACCAAGGCAACGAUGCGUAGCCGACCUGAGAGGAUGAUCGGCCACACUGGAACUGAGACACGGUCCAGACUCCUACGGGAGGCAGCAGUAGGGAAUCUUCCGCAAUGGGCGAAAGCUUGACGGAGCAACGCCGCGUGAGUGAUGAAGGUCUUCGGAUCGUAAAACUCUGUUAUUAGGGAAGAACAAAUGUGUAAGUAACUAUGCACGUCUUGACGGUACCUAAUCAGAAAGCAACGGCUAACUACGUG